rnacentral:lncRNA from 1 species
AUCUGGGAGGCCACAAACCAUGGAAGCUGUACGCAUGGUGUAGUGGACUAGCGGUUAGAGGAGACCCCUCCCUUGCAAAUCGCAGCAACAAUGGGGGCCCAAGGUGAGAUGAAGCUGUAGUCUCACUGGAAGGACUAGAGGUUAGAGGAGACCCCCCCGAAACAAAAAACAGCAUAUUGACGCUGGGAAAGACCAGAGAUCCUGCUGUCUCCUCAGCAUCAUUCCAGGCACAGAACGCCAGAAAAUGGAAUGGUGCUGUUGAAUCAACAGGUUCU